CCUACGGGAGGCAGCAGUGAGGAAUAUUGGACAAUGGGCGCAAGCCUGAUCCAGCCAUGCCGCGUGCAGGAAGAAGCAUCUAUGGUGUGUAAACUGCUUUUGUACAGGAAGAAACACUCCCUCGUGAGGGAGCUUGACGGUACUGUAAGAAUAAGGACCGGCUAACUCCGUGCCAGCAGCCGCGGUAAUACGGAGGGUCCGAGCGUUAUCCGGAAUCAUUGGGUUUAAAGGGUCCGUAGGCGGUUUAAUAAGUCAGUGGUGAAAUCUGGUCGCUCAACGAUCAAACGGCCAUUGAUACUGUUAGACUUGAAUUAUAAGGAAGUAACUAGAAUAUGUAGUGUAGCGGUGAAAUGCUUAGAUAUUACAUGGAAUACCAAUUGCGAAGGCAGGUUACUACUUAUGGAUUGACGCUGAUGGACGAAAGCGUGGGGAGCGAACAGGAUUAGAUACCCUGGUAGUCCACGCCGUAAACGAUGGAUACUAGCUGUUCGGAGCAAUCUGAGUGGCUAAGCGAAAGUGAUAAGUAUCCCACCUGGGGAGUACGUUCGCAAGAAUGAAACUCAAAUGAAAUUGAGG
rnacentral:rRNA from 1 species